GGGGCUGUAGCUCAGUUGGUUGGAGCGGAUCGCUCAUAACGAUAUGGCCGUAGGUUCAAGUCCUACCAGCCCUA
rfam:Ehrlichia chaffeensis str. Arkansas, complete genome.